GGUUUCUCAAGAAAAGAAUUUCAGUUCCGCCUAAAGCAAUUUAAAUCCCAAUAAAUUAUCCUAAGCCUUUAGAGUAAGUCAAAUAAGGUACAGCCUAUUCGACACAGAACUCAGCCUUUAACAACGGGUAAUACAAUUUCACCUUAUUAAGUGGGCCUAAUAGCAGCCACCUUUUAAAAAGCGUUAAAGCUUAAAAUUCACCCUAAUUCUUAAGCCAUUAUUGACCCCUUCAGCCCUAUUGAGAACUCCUAUAACCAUAUAGGACCUUUUAUGCUAAAACUAGUAACAAGAGGUUGUCCCUCUCUACAAUGUAAACCCAAGCCAGCUUGAACCCCUCACUGGCACCUAACAGACCUAAACUAAAGUAAUAACUCAUCUAGAAAACACUACUUUACCAUGCUGUUAACCUAACACAAGAACAUUUCAAGAAAGAUUAAAAGGAAGAGAAGGAACUCGGCAAACAUUAAACCCGCCUGUUUACCAAAAACAUCGCCUCUUGUCCCCCUUAUAAGAGGUCCAGCCUGCCCAGUGACUUGUUCAACGGCCGCGGUAUCCUAACCGUGCGAAGGUAGCGUAAUCACUUGUCUUCUAAAUAGAGACUAGUAUGAAAGGCAUCACGAGGAUUAAACUGUCUCCUCUCCCUAAUCAGUGAACCUAAUCUCCCCGUGAAGAAGCGGGGGUAGCCUUAUAAGAC
rnacentral:rRNA from 1 species